AGGGGAGUGAGCAGGCUGCCAGGAUUCAUCAGUCUUCUGCCCCUCCCUCAAACCAAAGAGCUUCUAUCUCUGAGAGGAAAUGUGCCCUGGGAUAAGGCUGAGGGUAGCUACCAGAAGCAUUUCUGGAUAGAAUAGUCUCACUAAGGGGAAAAGGAUAUGUUUGCUCUGUCACUUUAAAACGUAUAGCUUUUCAUUAAAUGUGAAACAGGUUUAAAUGGAAAAAUCAGAGUUCAUCACUAUAGCAGGUUCUGGGGUUGGUUUUGUUGCUUGACCUAAAGCUGCCAUCUGUGAAGACAUGUGCUUGAACCAUGUGAUGAUGAAAGAUUCUGCUGUAGGCAAGCAAGUUUUUGUCCUUCCUCUUGAAAGAGAAAUGCUUACUUACGUGGAACCUAAAGUCUUAGAAAACUGGGCCCCAGGAGACCUAAUUUAGUGCAUUACAUCUUCCACAAUGAUGGCUCUACAUUUAUGCUUAGCUGAAGAAUUGAGACAAAAUUAAAAAUAAAAACCUCUCCAAUCAAAGGACAAAGCUACUGAUAGUUUCCACAGUAGCAUCUGAAGAAAUAGAGGAAGAAGUGGUGGAGAAAGCAGUAGGAGUGAAAUAAGCAAGAAUAUGCUUUCCUGGGAGAAUCAAAGGUCCUUUCCUUGGUCCCCACAGAGAAGAGAACAGUGCCUGCCCUUCCUCGACGACGAAGUUGGAACUGCAGUGAAGUCUCUCCUCAGUCUCGUUUACUCCAAGUGCCUCAGUAGCUCCUUGCAUGGCUUCCCCUCAAGGCCCUUCACCAUCUCUGUUGCCCUCCUUUGGACACUCUCUCACAGUUCAAUGUCUUUUUUAUGUUGUAGUACCCAAAGCUGCCCCCAGCACUCAAGGUGAGGCUGUCCCAGCUCAGAGCAGAGCGGGACAA